UACGGUUGAAUAAUCUUUACGAUCUCUUUCACAAUAAGUGGUGUAAAGGUAUAACGAUUCAAUACCUGUACUUUUGUACUUCUAUUGUAAGGAGGUCAUUUAAAUGACUGGAAAAGUAAAAUGGUUUAACGCAGACAAAGGUUUUGGUUUCAUCGAAAGAGAGGACGGAGACGACGUAUUCGUACACUUCUCUGCUAUCCAAUCUGAAGGUUUCAAAACUCUUGACGAAGGUCAAGAAGUUGAAUUCGAAAUCGUUGAAGGCAACCGCGGCCCACAAGCUGCUAACGUAACUCGUCUGUAAUUUCAUACAAUGACGACAGAGGCGCAUUCUGGAAUUUUCCAGGAUGCGUCUU
rnacentral:other from 1 species